UGACCCGGACGCGCGCCUGGGAGCGCGACGGCCGCCCCCGGCGGUCGGCGGUUUCGGGGUUCGGGUUCUCCGGGACGA
rnacentral:tRNA from 1 species